AUUGAACGCUGGCGGCAUGCCUUACACAUGCAAGUCGAACGGCAGCGGGGGAGAAGCUUGCUUUUCCUGCCGGCGAGUAGCGAACGGGUGAGUAAUACAUCGGAACGUGCCCUGUAGUGGGGGAUAACUAGUCGAAAGAUUAGCUAAUACCGCAUACGACCUGAGGGUGAAAGUGGGGGACCGCAAGGCCUCAUGCUAUAGGAGCGGCCGAUGUCUGAUUAGCUAGUUGGUGGGGUAAAGGCCUACCAAGGCGACGAUCAGUAGCUGGUCUGAGAGGACGAUCAGCCACACUGGGACUGAGAUACGGCCCAGACUCCUACGGGAGGCAGCAGUGGGGAAUUUUGGACAAUGGGCGAAAGCCUGAUCCAGCAAUGCCGCGUGUGUGAAGAAGGCCUUCGGGUUGUAAAGCACUUUUGUCCGGAAAGAAAUGGCUCUGGUUAAUACCUGGGGUCGAUGACGGUACCGGAAGAAUAAGGACCGGCUAACUACGUGCCAGCCGCCGCAGUAA
rnacentral:rRNA from 1 species